rnacentral:rRNA from 1 species
GACGAACGCUGGCGGCGUGCUUAACACAUGCAAGUCGAACGGAAAGGCCCUGCUUUUGUUGGUUUCUCGAUUGGCGAACGGGUGAGUAACACGUGAGUAACCUGCCCUUGACUUUGUGAUAACUUCAGGAAACUGGGGCUAAUACCCGAUAGGAUCUCCUGCUGCAUGUUGGGGGUUGGAAAGUGUCGGCUGUUGGGUAUGUACUCGCGGCUUAUCAGCUUGUUGGGAUGGUAGUGGCUUACCAAGGCUUUGACGGGUAGCCGGCCUGAGAGGGUGACCGGCCACACGGGAACGGAGAAACGGUCCAGAGUCAUAAGGGAGGCAGCAGGAGGGAAUCUUCCGCAAUGGGCGGAAGCCGGACGGAGCAACGCCGCGUGAGUAAUGAAGGUCUUCGGAGCGUAAAACUCGGUUAUUAGGGAAGAAAAAAUGUGUAAGUAACUAUGCACGUCUUGACGGUACCUAAUCAGAAAGCCACGGCUAACUACGUG